CCGCAACAACAGGAUCUCUCAACAACAGCAACAGAAGGGAAAGGAAAGGCAACAAGCGCCUGCAACGAGUGCCUGUGACUGUUUAGUGAUGAUGCUAACAUGGAAAAGACUGGGAAAACUCAUCCAAAACGAUACUGUCCCAGGCCACCUGUACUUCCUGGACCAUCUGCAGCAACAGACAGAAGUACACUAGCCAGAGCUGGUGUCAAACAUUCAGCCAAAUUGGAUUCCAAGUGUCCUGUGAUGGAACUCACCUUAGUGGAGUCUACAUUAUGCAUCUUCAUGCCCUGUAUCCCAGCACUUGCAACCUACUUAUGUUUGAUGGUCAACAAUAGAGUAAAUAAAUAUGCAUACAUAUAAAUAUAUAUCAUAUAUUAUAUAUUUACAGGCACAGAAGUAUCAUGAGUCUACUUUAGGAAAGUAUGUUAAAUACCCUUUAAUGUCUGUUUACUAUUUCAUGAGGAUUAAUUGACUGUAGAACAGUUCUGAGUAGUAAGGUUGCUUUCUUAAAUGGACACUUUUUAUUGUAUAACUCCUCUAAAUCGUUCCACUUGUACAACAUCUGCCCUUGUAUAAUUACAUAAUCUCUCAGUCUGUGCUUACAAUAUUAAAUGUGUGAUGUUGUUAAUUAUCUUCUUAAGUCAUUUAGUUCUCACACAGAUCUGGGUUUAUAAACUAUUAUGCAUCCUGAUGGCCCCUGCUGUAAAUCACUUCUCUUUAUUAACACUAAGUUUAAGAAUGCAGCUCUCAUUGAAUGAAGAAUUUCAGACUUGGUCAUCUUCAUUUUUGUGAACAGUAUAGCACUGACCAGAAUAUGUACUGAAACCAUCUUUGGGUAAAUUUCACAGAGCACUUCUUGCUGUUCCAGAAGACCUAAGCUCAGUUUCCAUAUCACACAAUAAGUGUUUCACAAUUACCUAUGAUUCUGGCUUCAGGGGAUUACAGUGCCUCUGCCUUAUUGCAAAGGUUGUGGACAGUCUAAAUUCCCAGGAUUUUGUAUCUCUGAUGACAGUUUCAAGGUUAACAUAAACAAAAUUUAUAUUACUGAAGAAAUACUAUGCUAAAUAUAUAAAUAAAUCAUAGAUUUAACUCCUCUGCUAUCCA
rnacentral:lncRNA from 1 species